UAACGCGAAGAACCUUACCAGGUCUUGACAUACUAUGCAAAUCUAAGAGAUUGGACGUUCCCUUCGGGGACAUGGAUACAGGUGGUGCAUGGUUGUCGUCAGCUCGUGUCGUGAGAUGUUGGGUUAAGUCCCGCAACGAGCGCAACCCUUAUUAUCAGUUGCCAGCAUUAAGUUGGGCACUCUGGUGAGACUGCCGGUGACAAACCGGAGGAAGGUGGGGAUGACGUCAAAUCAUCAUGCCCCUUAUGACCUGGGCUACACACGUGCUACAAUGGAUGGUACAACGAGUUGCGAACUCGCGAGAGUAAGCUAAUCUCUUAAAGCCAUUCUCAGUUCGGAUUGUAGGCUGCAACUCGCCUACAUGAAGUCGGAAUCCCUAGUAAUCGCGGAUCAGCA
rnacentral:rRNA from 1 species